UUAAAAUUAUGAGUAAUCCAAAUGCCAGUAAUACACAAGUGUAUUCCAGCAUCAUUACAAUUGGGCACUUAUUUCACUUGAAAAUAUGGGAAAUUAUUUGUUAAUUUUUAUUUCUAAGAUAAAGCAUGUACACAUCAAAUCAUCUCUCUGCUACUAUACCUGGUAAAAUACAGAGAUUCUGAUUUCAAGAAAAUAGUUUUAAUUAAGUGAAUGUGGAAAGAUAAGCAUGGCAAAAAGCUCCGUUCUUAAUAGUUAGUCUUAGUGAACAGUUGCUCACAUCUUUUCACUUUCAUUUUAGCCUUGAUCUCUAGUUUAGAUUCUAAAUGAAUUUGCCAACGGGCUUUUUUGGAAAGAACAGGGCGGUGCUCAACCACUUGCAUAUAUAACCUGAGACGAGACUCCAGCAUUCUCAUCGCACCAUGGAUCUCAAAAUUGCUACUUUUCUCCUUGUCCUGCUUGCCGCUGUCACCAUCUCUGAAGCUUUUGAGAACCGUGGACAAGUAUGACAUUCAGAAGAAAGGUGGUGCCUGUGAAAAGGAAGCUCUGAUCUUGCACGUGAAAGGGAAGACAUUCUGUGGCUCCCCAAAACUACUGCCAAUCAUCAGGCGGAAUUCAAGA